GUCUAGAGGCUUCGGCAAUGGGGGCAACCCUGACCGAGCGACGCCGCGUGCGGGAUUGAAGGCCUUCGGGUCGUAAACCGCUGUCAAGUGGGAAGAAUGCCCGGAUGGUGAAUUCGGGAGCGACGGUACCACUGGAGGAAGCCCCGGCCAACUACGUGCCAGCAGCCGCGGUAAUACGUAGGGGGCAAGCGUUGUUCGGAUUUACUGGGCGUAAAGGGUGUGUAGGCGGCUGCGCAAGUCUGAUGUGAAAUCUUCGCCGCUCAACGGGAAGGGUGCAUUGGAAACUGCGCGGCUUGAGUGUGGUAGAGGCGAGUGGAAUUCCUGGUGUAGCGGUGGAAUGUGUAGAUAUCAGGAAGAACACCUGUGGCGAAGGCGGCUCGCUGGGCCAUUACUGACGCUGAAACACGAAAGCGUGGGGAGCAAACGGGAUUAGAAACCCGUGUAGUCC
rnacentral:rRNA from 1 species